ACAUCGUCAGGAGCACAUGGAGCAUCAGCAGAAGAUGGAGACAAAGUGCAAGGAGGUAAAGGAGGCCAAAAGAGUGGUGGUACGAGAAAUGGAAGACCACAAGUCUCAGCUGGUGGCUGCAGAGAACAAACAAGACAGACUCCUCAAAGAACUGCAGAUGACCAAAGAAAAAGAGGCCAUCUUCAUGGAUCAAAUGUUGUUAUCUCAGAGUUUCUCGACAGAUUGAUUAGGAUUUACAUCAGAACUCUACUCUGACAAUACCCAAAAUGUUUCUAAGAUUAAAGACCCUUCAGAAACAGCCUUCAAAAGACCCUUUUGUAAAAUAUGUAAAUAAUACAUGAAAAAAGAGGCUAUGUUUUGGGGGUUGGAGGAAGAAAUCUGUUUGCAAAAAAGUUAUAUAGCUGUGUUAUAAGUCAAAUAAAGAAAUUUUUGAGUAAAUCUACAGGAUUGAUUGUUUUGGACUACAGGGUUCUGCUGGACAUCAACAUGGAGCAGAUUGUUGCUGAGUGCAAGUCUCUGCGUGAUUAACUAGCUCGAGAUACACGGCUGAAAGACAAGCUUGUGCGAGUCCUGAAGAGGAAUGAACUGCAGCUGAAACAGGCCAGAGACUCCUUUGCUAACACUCAACAGCAGCAUGAGAGGACCCAGGCUCAGAGAGAGACAGUCUCAGAUGGUGACUGCUUGUUGCAGAGAAGAAGAGAUCUGGAAAAACGCAGUUUGAUUAGCAAGGCUGGGUGUGUUUUCUAAACUGUAUGAAGUCACCAAGGGCAAGCGGAACAAAUACCUGAGCCUGAUCCACAUCUCAAACCAGAACCUGGCAGAGGUGCAAGAGAAGCUGGCCAAACUGGAAGAAAAUCUUAAGACACUGCAAUCGAUUGCUAUCAACAAAGACAAGUACUGUAGUUCUCACGUUAUACGUUAUACAGUACUUAUUUAUUUUUUUGCAUACUACAAUCUGACUACACCACACCAUAAAAUAAUAUUUGGUUAAUGUGCUUGGUUACACUCUGGGUGGCUGGAAAAGUCCAGUCUACAACACUCUCACAGCUACAAGCUCAGAGACAAUAUGAAGAAUGAGAUCACAAGGGUGUUACAGGUUCUGCAAGAAAUGUACCAGAAAUGAGAGGAGCAGAAAUUGAACCUCGGCAAACUCAUGGAGUCAAUCAACAUGCUAGAGCAAAAAAGUUGCAUAUGUGCAAGAGCUACGAGGCUGCCAUGCAAGAACGCACCCAGCGGUGGGAGAGUUAUAGAUGUUUGAGGUGAAUUCUUAUAGUCUGGGGUGGCAUUUGCACCAUAACUUUGUAUCUGUGUUUGUGUUGUCAAGGCUGUGCAGCUUGUAGAAAAAGAGCAGGAAUUGUAUAUUUUCUAUGAGAAGUUAAAUGGUGAUGGAAAUGAUCGAAGACAGCAACCUGAAGAUACAAAACAUGGAGGAUGAAAUCGGCAACCUGAAAACUGAUCAGAAAGACCAAGAAAGACAGAACAACCCACACAUGAAACAGUUCUCCAGUAAACUGGCACUAGAGGAAGAAAGCAUCUUAUUACAGAUACAGGUACCUCCAUCUAAAUUCAGAAACUAUUGUGCAACCUUUAUCUAAAACAAUAAUAAUAAUAAAAAAAAGUCAUACAGAGUGACUUCUCAGUGGGUCUUCCAGCUUUUGCAUUAGAUUGGGUGAAGCAGCCAAAGAGAUGAUCUGUAACAGAUACAUAAAUCAAAAAACAAUACUAUAAACUAUAUUGCAGUGGAAUGUAAGUAAAGGUUAGAUUGUAUAUAAUAUUCCAGGUGGCACACAUACUCACAGAUGUGCUCUUUUUACCAUUUAUAGUUCUUUCUAAGAGAUAAAAGUGAAAUAAACCAUCUUAGCAAGAAUCUACUUGAUAGUUUUAUACCACGCUGUGUUUAAUCAACAGAGUCUCUUCAUAUAAACAUCUACUGCAUCAGUGCAGAUAAAAUAAACAUUUAAAUAUUAGAUUGUGUUUCUAGUUCUCAUGCUUGCAGUAGGGCUUAAAGCCAGGGGUAAAAACAUAUUAUGUCCUCAGACACUGUGUGCAAUGCCAAACUAGUCCAAUGUUUUUCACUACAUUUACAUUUAUGUCACAUUUUCCACAUAAUACUGAUGUGGACAAACGCUUCCUGAAGUCCAACACAUUAUGGCUACACUGAAAAUAUCUGUACACUACCGUUCAAAAGUUUGCGGUCAGUAAGAUUGGUCAUUGAAUUGAUCAGUAGUGACAGUUAAGACUUGAAUAACUAUACCAUUUUUUUUUUUAACUCUAUUCAUCAAAUAAUUAAUGUAUAAUUGUUUCCACAAAAACAUUAAGCAUAUUCAGCUUUAUU